UGCAACCUACGGGAGGCAGCAGUGAGGAAUAUUGGUCAAUGGCCGGAAGGCUGAACCAGCCAAGCCGCGUGAAGGACGAAGGUGCCAAGCAUUGUAAACUUCUUUUGUCAAGGGCCAAAAUCAGGCUCGAGAGCCUGACCGAGGGUACUUGAAGAAAAAGCAUCGGCUAACUCCGUGCCAGCAGCCGCGGUAAUACGGAGGAUGCGAGCGUUAUCCGGAUUUAUUGGGUUUAAAGGUUUCGUAUGCGGACUGU
rnacentral:rRNA from 1 species